rnacentral:lncRNA from 1 species
AGAUUUCCACGAGUUCUUUCAAGCACCAAGUGGAAGAAGCAUAGUUUUGAGAGAAAACAACAAUCGAAAGCCUUGACUCUCGAAUCGCUGUCAGGAGCUCGGAAAGGCGGUCUCCUUUUCCGAGCUCUUGGGCAUCGAUGAAGGUGUUGAUUGUUUUCUGACGCAGAGCUCUGUAAAGAUGGCUGACAAAGCCUUUGCGAGUCUCUUCCCCUCUGAAAUUGAUGAACACUUCAUAUUUCCAUUGAGGGCCAGAAGAAGAAAAAGCAGCCAUUGAUCGAUCGCACCUGGUCACCGAUGAGCAUCAAAGAUGAAGAGGAAUUUAAGAACAGAAAUACUCGAUUGAUCUACAAAUUGGAGGAAAAGUAAGAAAAGUUAUGUUUUUCGCAUCUUCUUCCAAGAAAUAACGGUGCCAGCGAGAUGCUCAAAAAGAGAAAAAGGAAAGAAUGCUUUAUGUUUUUCGCAUUUUCUUCCAAGAAAGACCGGUGUCGGUCAAAAGUGAUGCUAGAAAAGGUAAAAGGAAAGAAUACUUUAUGUGUUGUAAUCUUACAAGCCACUCAAUGUCCGGAUAGUCAACCCACUACAACUCUACAUGUUUGUCCACUAAUCCACUUGCUGCUCAUCCUUCCAUAUAAAAUCACACACAAAAACACAAAGCCUUACGGCUGAAAAGAGAGAAAAGAAAGAAGAAAGAAGAGAGAAGAAAAAGAGAGGAGAUAAUAGAGAGAGUUAUCUUUGUAAUCUUAUUACUUCAUAUUAUAAAUGAAAGCAUCACUGCUACUUCGAGGACAUACUUCAGUCACACUGACUGUAAAGGAACCUUAUAAAUUUUGUGUCUUGUUUAUUUAUUCCACUGCACACACCGUCGAUUUUACAACAUAAUGGUUUUUUUCCCAUCUUCUUUCAACAAAGAAUUGCGCUGGCCGAAGAGAUGUUCAAAUUUCACUUUGUAGAAUGGGCUAAAAUGCACACUCACACUGGUGUGGUUUGGAAAAGUAUAAGGCCUGGCCCACGACCAUUCACUAUUCAACGGUCAUUCUCUCGUCUUCUCUUAAUAAUUUUGGACAAGACAUAUAAUGCUAUGUUUAUCACGUAUUUUUACCAUCAUUUGUAUUAUUUCUAAUAGAGAUAGGAAUCGCCAACCCAUGUGAAUUAUUUUUUAUUAGAAAGAUUAUACAAAUGAUAGUAUAAAUAAGUGGUAAAAAUAGCAUUUUUGUUUAAAAUGAUGCUUUCAUACGUCAUUUAUUAUGCCUAAUUUUUAAAAUUUCCAAUCAUAUUGUAGUAAGUUUAAAAUUUGGUACCAAAUUAUAAUUUUAUUUCAAAGAUCGUUUUCUUGGUUGUUCAAAGUUCGAAUGAGAGUGGUCAUGGAGAAAGAAGUGGAGAUGGAGAUAGAGGUGUUGCUCGGAUGGCAGGGGAAUAGCAAGAUGAACCCUAUAUUUGCCAUUCAUUAUUUAAUGGUCAAUUAAACAGAAUUUCUAUCGGAUGUAUGAUAUUAAAAUAAAAUUAUAAGUAAUGUAUGACACUGAAAUGUUUUCAAAAUGUUGUAAGCGAUUGCAAUUAAUCUCAAACUUGAUGGGGUAAAACAUAAUUUACUCUAGAUUUUAUGUACUCAAUACUGCUAUUCGUACAUUGAAAUCUUAGAUUAUACAAUUUUACAAACAAAUGAUCACGCAAGUGACUAUGAACACGAAAGAAGGUAAGUAAACGUUACGGCAGGACCGGGAAAACUUUCUCCAAGAAAUUGAUGAAACGCUUAGCGUACAGCUCCGGUUCGACAGCAGAAACGCGUUGAGGGUCAAACUUCGACGAUUUGUAAGCGUGCUCGAGUUUCUUGUUCUCAUUGUACUCCUGCAAUAUGUCGAUUAUCCCCAUAUAAAGAACCACGUCGUAGAAUUCAAAUAGUUCUACUUCUGUUGAAUUGACCUCUUCCCGCACAAUCUUACGAUUGGCCCGGGCCGGCAUGUCUACACCUAGUUGCACCCUUAACCUGAGAAAAAUUCAGCUGACGGUAACUAUGUGCUGCUCGAACAAUGAAUGAAACACAGAAUUCAACAACAGUUUUCAAGCUAUGAAUUUCUAUGUUUUCAGCAAUCUAAUUACCGUUGCUUGACCGUGCUACUAAGUCACUCGCGUCAGCAUACUAUUCAAAUCAGAUGAAAGCUGAUUAGAAGGUUAGGCCACGUAUCAUGAAUCUUCUGUUGAAAUUUAUUUGGUUUAUUUAGGAAAUUAAUUAGAGAUUUGAUUUGAUUUUGUAGUUGGGUAUUUUUGGCAUUUAAGCAUUAGGGUUUCUUAGGUUUAUUGCUCUAUAAAUAGAGCUUGUAGUUUAGUUUGAGGAUCAAGUUAUUCACAAUGUAGUCUCUUAGGCCUCGUUUGGCACGCCGUAUAAGACCACCGGAUAGUAUUAAUAGUACGAAACAGAUGUUUGGUGAACUUCGUAUUAAAUAAGCACCGGAUUAUUUAAUCCGGGCCCACUCAUUUUAUACUCCUCCCACCCGCUUAUUUAUCCCAACCAAAACCUCCGUAUAAUUUAGUCGGGUCAUCUCUCUCGCUCACUUCGUCCCCCUCUCUCUCGCAGCACUCUCCUGGCUCACUUCGUCCCCCUCCUUCGUCCCCCCAUUGCUCCGCCGCUCCUUCCUUCCCCAAUAACACCGACCCCCGAACCUCCACAUCUCCUCCGCCGCUCCCAGCAACCCAACUCUUUCUUUCUGCAGAAUUCUCAGAACUCGAGCUGCAAAACGCUAACUUUUCGAAUUGGGUUUCUCUAGGAAUUGUAGAGAAUUAUAGGACUGGAGAUGUUUUGAGUUUUUAGCUUAAUUGUUCCCUGAUUUUGUUGAUGGAUUUGGGCGAUUUGGGGGUGGGACGGAGAGAUUUGGGACAACUUUGUGCCUGCUGGGUUUAUGGCUGCUGGGUUCUUCCUGCAUUUGACAACUUUGUUUUUUUCUAUUCUUUUUCUUUUCCAGUAAUCAUCAAACUGGGUUUUGGGGGGGGGGGUGCAGAGAGAUCUACGACUGAGAGAGAGGGAGGAAGUUUGGGGGGUGCAGAGAGAUUUGCGGAAAAAAAAAGAUGAUUUCAAUAUUUUUUUUAUUUUAUUUUAAAUUUGAUUUCUCUUAUCCGGUAUAAUACCAAAUACAGUAUAAAUAAUACGAUCAUUAAUCCGAUACUGCACCAAACGCCCGAUUAAUUUAGUCAGUACUAUCCGAUGACUAUUUAUCCUAUCCGACAGAAAUAGUCAGUACAGUCCGAGCUGCCAAACGAGGCCUUAAGGUUUUGUAGCCGUUCCGGCAUUCUCGGUUGUUUAAUAAUAUUCUUAUUUUUUGUUAAUCUCGUUCGUUGUGUACUCUGAUAUUCAACUUGGUAUCAGAGCGGGUUCGAUCAUUUGGAUCCAAUUUGCUCUUGUAUGGUAUCAGUUUGUUUUGUCAGUUUUUGUUCUUUUGGUUUAGUUUUGGUCUCGAUUACGCUUUCGCUUCCGCUUCGGUCUGUGUCCUUUGUUCUUCUUGGUCACUCUGUUUAUGUUCCUUUUUUUGUCUUUGGAAAUUUAGUAUUGAUAGUCGUAGUAGUCUAAAAAAAAAAAAAAGGCUUGAUUGUUUUUUUGGAGGCUCACACGAGGAUGAGAGAAAUAUUGGGGUCGUUUUGUUUCUUCUCUCUCCAGGUUGUUCUCUGGAUCUUGAAUUUUUUGUGGGUUUCAAUGUGUCCUUUUUAGGUUGUGAAGUUUGGGGUUGGAUCCGGAAAAUAGUGGUCGUUUGUUUUUGAGUGGUUUGGUUGUUUUUAAGGCUGCUUGUAUUGGGAGGUUUGGUGUUGCCUUCCGUGACGAUUGCUCGAGUGUUUGGACUGGUGACUACUCGAGUAACGUUGCGAAAGUUGGGUUUUUUGCUUGCUUGUUUAGGUUUGUUCUGGAGUUCGCAAUUGGCAUUAGCAUUGGAAUCUUGCAUUGGCACUGGCAUUGGGAUCUUGUACUUGCACCGAUGGAAUUUCGUAUUGAAAUUGGCAUCGGCAUCAACAUCGAUAUUGGUAUUGGCAUUAGAAUUGGUAUUGGCAUUGGUAUUGGCAUUGGUAUUGGUAUUGGCAUUGGCACUGGCACUAGCACUGGAAUUUGGAGUCUUGCAUUCGCAUCUGCUUGUUGGCAACCUCAUGACGUAUACCGCCAUGAGUUUGACGGGGGGUGUUGAAAUUUAUUUGGUUUAUUAAGGAAAUUAAUUAGAGAUUUGAUUUGAUUUUGUAGUUGGGUAUUUUUGGCAUUUAAGCAUUAGGGUUUCUUAGGUUUAUUGCUCUAUAAAUAGAACUUGUAGUUUAGUUUGAGGAUCAAGUUAUUCACAAUGUAGUCUCUUAAGAUUUUGUAGCCGUUCCGGCAUUCUUGGUUGUUUAAUAAUAUUCUUAUUUUUUGUUAAUCUCGUUCGUUGCGUACUCUGAUAUUCAACUUCUUCUAGGAUGUCGUUUCACUCAUACGAACGUAACUGAAGAUCCAAACGCUUAUGGUGUCAAACUUCAAAAUAUAUCAGAGCGCAAAAGUGCGAAUAGUAAGUGUAAAAGUACAAACAAUAGAAGUACCUUCCUGUACCAGGGAGCAAGAGAUUGACUUCUUUGUCACCGAGAGAAUAAGCUUUCAACGGACUUCCUCUGAUGUGAGGACCUGGUGCAGUACUGACAGAGCCAGGUUCAUGGGUUACCAGUAAAAGACCUUUAGGAGGAAUCAAAAGCUCCCCUUGCAAAGUCACACCUAUUCCAAUUGGAAUAUAAGUUCAAAUAUGAAAUACGUAAAAUGCGAGGAGAUAAGGGAAUUCGGUUGGUAUUAAAAGCAUGGCUGGAGGGAAAGACAACAUUGUUCCAUUCAAUGUCAUUUUCAUUAUGUUUCUUUCCCAUUUCUUCAUUCUUCCAAGUGCGUGCCAUUUCGAAGUUAUGAAAAUCAAGAUUCCAAAUGGCGCUAGACGCUAGUCGGCCGCCCAGAUGUCAAUAACAUGGUAAGGAUCCAUAUUCCACCCCCUUAGUGGCGUGAGGAUGUUCCAAAUCCCAAAAUGUCGACUGGUACUAAAGUCUGUUGGCCCGAAUUUUAAAUUGUAAUAAGAACUAGGCCAGUUGCCGAGUUGCCAUUAAUUGCUCAGAUUUUUUUUUUCCUACAGUCCUUUUUCUGCGUUUGUAUGACUUUACUGUUUCCAGGGAAAGAAAUCAUUAAUUGGAAAACUAUUUGCAUCACCAAAUAGAAAAGAAAUCAGAACAUACGUAAAACAAAUACAAGUUCAUUUGAAAAGUACUUAUAAUCAGAAAGAGAUGCUUACCAUCAUCAGCAGGUAAACUCUCAUGGUUGUGCAUUGCAGCAGGAGGUUGUGAAAAUCCCUUCAGAUCCUCGGGAGCUCUAAAAUGUAGACCCAACAGAAGGCUAUAAUCGAUAAUUUGCUGAGAUUGUAGAAACUUGCAGUCUAGUGAUAUUUGUCUGCAAAACAAAGAGGAGGAAAGAUUCCAAGAGAUGAUUAAAAUGCGGAAGAGCUUACUCAGCCAGUUCUUAACUUCUUAUUAACAUUAUCUUUUUGGGGACACAUGCAUAAUCGAUAAGCACCAAAUCUACGAGAUGUGAUCGCACAAUGUAUUAUUGAUUGUAGAUCCACAUAAAGCGUUGAGACUUCAUCAGAUUAUCAAGCCUGUUAUCGGAAGAACAAAAUAUAGUACUGAAAAGUAGUGUUAUAACUUAUAAAUGAAAAACAACAACGUAAAUUGCAGGAACGUAGGAGAAUUCUUAUAUCAAAUCCAUUUUGAUUGGAAAUCUAAAAUUGACUUAAAGCUUAUUGAACUGACUAAUAGCAUUUGGAACAUGUUUUACGUUUCCUGUCUUAACGUUGAAAGUAAAUAAACUAAUCAACCACAGGAGAUUUGAAGCAUUUUAACUUACAAAUCAACAAGGCAAAGAAUUGAUUUCCAGGGACUACACAGUUUCUAUGUACCAAGAUGCAUGAUACAAAUUUACUGGUGAGGUUGAAAUAUCCCUCCAACCGGCUUGGCUCUUCCUCAAGGCAAGCUUUACAGGUCAUAAUCCAAAGAUAGGAUGCAGAGGACUGGAAGAAACUAAUGCAGGACAUAUAUCUAAGGGUUAGAUUCUAUUGCAAGUGGUUUUGGAGAAUUAGACCUCGGACCGAGUAUGUUAUAUUGCAUAAGUUUAUUAAUCUUAUGAUCAAUGAAGUUAUUCCAGAGAGAUUGUAACCGAAAAAAAAAAGUUAUUCCAGAAGGAUGCUAAUGAAAAUCACUCACAGGUAAUCACUAAUACCUUUUCUAAAAUGUAAUAAAUGAAAUUAAAAAAACCGCAACAAAUAAAAACUCACAAGGACUUGCUUAAAAAGUUCUCCUCGCAACAGUUUGUCCAUAUGAAAUUCAAAUUUCAGAUCGAGAUCUUUCAAUGUGGUAUUCUCAUCAAUUUUAUCUUUGUCUGUACAUCUUCCAAUAGUUGAACCCUUCAAAUCAUAACGGCGAUGAAUUCGUAAUUCAGUGCAAAACAUAUUCCCCAUGACCAUAAACCGUUCCUAAAAACAAUGCAUUUAGAAUAAGUCACACCAACCGAGGCGACAUCCAAUGAAGAACUGCAAUCUGGUAGAGUGAUAAGUUGCUCAAUACCUUUUUUCCACCUUUUAACGUUAUCCAAUGGAGCCCAAAUUUUUUUGUGAUGAGAGUGUUUUCAUGUUCGUCUACAUGGCUAUAAUAUCUAGGCAGCAUCUUCAGCAUAACCUGCAUAUGAAUUGGGAAAAAGAAAAUGAUUCAUAAUUCCUUAACAUCCUUCCCAAACUUGGAUGAGAUAAGUUAGUUGCCGAAGAUAAAGCUAAAAAUAAAAUUGAGAAAAGCAAAAUCUAAGUCCUCAUAUGGAGCUGAUUGAUCAUUCUGUUCGAGUAAGAAGCAAAAGGAAUAUAAAGGGUCAUUCAACGGCUUGGCACGACAGGAAUUUUGAGUACAAAGAAGUUAUCGUGUGUGUGUAUGUAGCGUAGAAGUUUGCAUGAGUUCAAUCAAACCUUCAGUUCAGUUUUUCUUAAAGUCUUGAUGAAAAAUCUAUCAUCAUGAGAAAUAUAGAAAAUACUGCCACUUUUCCCCGGUGAAGAAAUCUCUCGUAAACCAUUGUCACCACAAACGGACAUCAUGUACUCUGCAUCUAAUUUAAACAUCUCCCUUAAAUUCCUGAAACGCGAAAGUUUCAUCAGGCAGAAAGAGAUCCAAUUGCUUAUUUGGGCAGAUACAGCAGAAACAUAAACUUGCGACCAUACAAUGUCCAUAUGGUUAAGACAUGUAUGAUUCCAAUUAAACUUGAACACAUUUGAAUAUGACUCCAAUUAAACAAGAAAUUAGGUCAAAACAUAAAUGAAUCAGAUUUACAGAUUUAACAGAAACAUAGUCAUUUUUAAAGUUCUAUAUUUGCAGAUUCUCCACAAAUAUCACAAUUACGGAGGCCAACCAUGUAAAUUGCAUGCACGACAAGCACAUUACCAAAAGGAAAUAAGUCAAUUAGGCCUUCUAGUGAUAGAGCUAUUAUCUGCUAGUCUAUUUUUAGUGCUUCCAAAUGCUUGAGCUUAGCUAUUAGGACAUGGACCAAUAAUAGUUUAAUUUCAAAGAAGUAACCCGCAUGUGGGAACCCAAACUCCCCCUCCAUAGGUAACAUCUUCAAUUGUUCGUUACUAUUAUUCCCAAAUGCUUAACCUAUUAGAGCUUGAACCAAGUAAAAGAGUCCAUGAAUUUCCAUAUUGUGUACCAAGUUGGUAAAAAUUGAGCUCAAAAGAAGUUGAUUCCUCCACUCUCAAUAUGGUUUAUCGUCUGCAAAUGCAAUAAAAGAAUCAUAAACUUAGCAACACCGCCAAUUUUUGCAUAGCAAAAGAAGCAGAUAUACGUUCUAAGCAAAAAAAUUUCGCCCCUCAUAACUCACCAAAAAGCAAACAAAAUUUCAAACAAAAUGGCUAGCACAAUCUAAAAUAGGAGCAAAAAAAAACACUAAAAAAAAGCUAAAUUUAUUACAAGAAAAUAACUCACCAUAGUGCUUCCGUAGUACUUCUGGCACCACACAGUAAGGGCUCCCAACAACAUCAGUGAAUGUUUCUCCUGGGAAGAAUACGAGUUUUUGUUAUAAUGAUAUUGAAAUGUGAAAAAAAAAAAAAACGCGAAAUCACUUUCUUGUAGCGAAAAAUUACGAAUCAACGACAUAAUGAACAAAUAAAUUAAAGUAACUGAACCAUUAAGAAAUUAACAACACAGACGUCUACAUUUAUCAGUAUCCCAUCAAUAUAUGCACCAAAUUUUAGCGAAUGCCGGUGAUGUUUUACAUUUAUUGUUCUUACCGGUGAUUACUGGAUUACGUAAAUGGUGCAGUGAAGACAUCAGUGAAUUAUGCAAAUGGUGCAGUGAAGACAUUCACAAACUGAAAACAACAAAUGGUGAAGUGAAGACGGUGAAUCAACGCAGUCACAGAUUAACAAAUUGAAAACAACAAAUAAAACCACAGAAAAAGAAAACAGCCAACUCACCUUGGAACAAAGAACAUACGGACAGAAGAAGACUCAAAAUGAGAGAAAUGAAACAAAUAAAUAGACCUUCGAAAUCUCCUAAUUCAUUUAAAAAACAAACCAAAGAAUAAUGUUAUAUGGGUGAUAUCAAACACAAGCAAACGUAUACCAGAAAAUUACUCCAGGCUUUGCCUGAUAUCAAACAAAAGCAAACUACUGUGAACUUUUAACUUCAAAACCAAUCAUCAAUGAUAGAUACUAAUAUCUCAACUUUCGAAAAAAAUUACUUACUUUGCCAAACCCAAACCUGCCUCACAUUCGAAAGAAAUGCACAUUUUAAAUUAUCAAUCAUGAUUCAGUGCAUGAGUUUGUUCUCAUAUUUUCCCCUUUAAUCUAACAACAUAUAUGAAAUUGAAGAGAGAGGAUGAGAAAUUUUUACCUCUGGGCGUGUCGACUCCAAGAUUGGAGGUUUGGCCUUUGGAUCCGCUCGUGUGGAGCCUGAAUCUCGCGAGAUCUGGGUUCAGGUUUUCUGAGACGGUGGUGUAGGCAACGGUCUUGGGGCUCUCAUCUCUGAUUUCUGAGCAUGGAUUUGCUCACAUGGGGAUGAUGACGCCAAAACGAACCUCAAAGCUGUCACAGUCGCAGUCAUAGAUUGCAAAACCACGCCUCUUCUUUACUUGGUCUUCUUAAUCCUCUCCUUAAUUUCACUGCAAAAUUCACACACAGAUAUAAAUGACCAACCAGGGUCCUUGUGGAACAAAACCCGAAACUGAAUUUCUCAUCCUAAUCAAUUGAUUCAAUUUUUAACAAAUACACAUAAAUAUUAAAGAGCAACAUGCCAUGUUGAACAAAACAAAUGAUUGAUCAACUUAAAGAGUGUCUGGGAAUGCUUCGGUAAGGCUAAAAGUGUUUCUAGAUACCAAAAUUUGAGCAGAAAUAGCUAAAAGUGCUAUUGAAUAGAAUUAAAUUGCAGUAUCAAUAGACUUCAAUAUUAACCGCUUACCCUCAAAAGACACGACAACAAUGAAUAGAAUUAAAUUGUAAGUGAACUAAUAUUUUGUACAACAAAUAUAUACGGGAUAUACAUUGCACAGAUAUACAUGUUGCAUAAAGUCUCACAUGUUUCUGAAAUGAAAACGCUACAAAACGAAGAUAUACGGCCAAUUAAUUCUUCAACCGCUAAUGGAUCACGGGAUAUUCUUAGCUGCCUUUGUAGUUCUUGUUUGUCAAAUUCGAACACAACUCAGGAAAAAUAAAUAUAAACACAAAGAGAGAAGAAGAUAUAAGACAAUUACCUCUCUUUUGGCAGGAAGCUCAUCCCAAACAUAAAUUCUGAUAUCUUCCUAAGCCUGUAUUAUGCAGGUCGUGUACUCAGUGAAUAUGCUUUCGAAAAAAGAUCAACAAGCGUGCAUUAUUUCCUAAAUUCCUAUGAAUUUGACAUGCUAAUUUACUGAAAGGAUUUGGCAAAAAAGACUAUGGGAUUAUAGAGACCUCAAAAAUGAAUGAUGCACAUACAGAUCUAAAUAUGGGUAAAAUACCAGCUGAAUUUAAUAAGAAAGAAUUCAGACCACAACACUAUAGUUGAUGAUUAAAUCAACAGCGUAAUGUUUUGUUGAGAUUCUGUUUCAGCAUGCACUAGGAAUAAUCUCAAUGGCCUUUCCUCUUCUACAGGUCAUGAAGAUUUCGGAAUCCGGAUAUUGGGUUCAUUUGGUUUCUGCAAAAUAUGAAUUCACAAGCUCAAAAUCACAAAAAUUUCCCUAAAAUUCUUCAAAUUAUUAUUUUAUUUUAUUUUAUUCGAAAAAUAGAGAACUAACAGACCAUCUUCUUCCUUGAUGAAACACUUGAGAAAGAAAGCGAAGCAGCUUUGAAUCUCAGCUGCUGAAUACUCUGAUCUUCCUCCCCAACUCCUCCAUAACUCCCAGAAGAGAAAUUUUCAUGCGACCCCUUUCCAGCAGCUGCAAAAAAGAUAUCAAAUUUAAAAACGAAUUCCAAAAACAAAGCAAGAGAGUGCAUUUGGACGUUGGUUUGGGUGCAGACAGAGGCGGUGGAGGGACGGUGGGUCGGUGGACCGGUGGUGUAGGGGGUGAAGAUAGCGAUGGAUGGUGAUGGGUUUGGGUGGGCUGCCCAUUUGAGGGUUUGGGUUAGUUUGGUUGGGUUGCUGCCGGCUAAAGCUAGAGACUUGAGAGGGGAGGUGGGUGUAUUGAGAAAUAGGACAGAUCAGAUUGGGGAAAUUAGGGUUUUGCUGGAGAAGAAGAGGGAGGGAAGAGAGAGACCCGCGUAAAUUGGGUUGAGAAGGGAAGCUGCCAUUUCGUGAGGAAUGAGAGAUACAAUCCCCCAAAUCAUGCACCCACUCUCUGCGACCAAACCCCCCUCUCCUCUCUCCCCAAAAUCCCAAAAUCACGCCCCCAUAUAACUGCAUCCAACCCCCUCUCCUCUCUCCCCCAAAUCACGAGAUCAGAUCUUCUGCACCCAACCCCCUCUCCUCUCUCCCCCAAAAUCACGCCCCCACCCUUAGACCCCAAAAACAACAGCCCAACCGGCUGUUUUGGGGACAGACAAUGGCAGAAACGUAAUUAAAUCAAAAUCGAGUUUAUUGAGUUGAUUGUAGAUGAUAUUUUUAAGAAAUUGCUCAACAUCUCAUCAAGUGAAAAGAAUGGCUUGGUUGGAAUAGAUUCCUGCUUACAGAAAAUGGAUUCACUGUUAUGUCGCGGGGUGAAUGAUGUUCGCUUUGUUGAAAAUGCAAACUCAGUUUCACUUGGCUAGAAAGACUUCAUUUACACAAAUUCAGAGGGCUCAUCCACUGUAAUUUGCAGAUUUAUAAAUGUUAAGAUAAAAGGAAAUGCAAACUACCUUUCACCCAAAUUUGCAAUGGGAAAUGACAUAGCAAUAUCUUCACAGUUUCUGCACAAGCACAAAUCAAAAUAUAAGAAUAGCUCACAUAAGCAAUUGAAACCCGCCAAACACGAACGAAAAGAUCGGCAACAAAUGUAUUCCACAUGUAGAGAUAUUCUGUUCGAAUUUUGAUUACCUAGAAAUUGGGGGGUUGGGGCGGAGAGGAACCCUAGCCAAGGCGGAGCUCUGUAGUGGAUGCCGAUGAUGUUUAGGAGAGUAAUAUACGUGUCAAAUUCAGCACGCCCCUUCCAAUAUCUACUUGAUAAUCCCACAAGCGUGCUAAAUCCUCAUAGUCGACGGGAAAUUGAGAAAGAUUUGUGCACCCACUGAGAUUGGCAGCUAAAGGGCGCGCCAAAUUACAGAAAGUGUCGGGAAGAUGCACAAGGCUUUCGCAGUUUCCCAGAUUUAAUAACACAAGCUGCUGAAGCCGUUCAAUCGAGGGGGGAAGCUCUUUGAUAGAUGUUCCAUCCAAAUGAAGCGCUCUUAAUUCUUCCAUAUUUUCUUCAAUGUUUGGAAACACCUCAAAUUUUGUACAACCAGAAAGAGAGAGAUAAUAUAGGGAUUGAAGUUGACAAAUGCUACUUGGGAGAGUCUUGAGUUCUUUGCAAUCUUUUAGGAUCAAAAUUCUCAAUCCCGUGAGACAAUUAAUUGACGAGGGCAAUUCUUUAAUUUUUGAUCCGGAUAAAUCAAGCCCUAUUAGUUGAUCCAUAACUUCUAAAAUCUCUGGAAACAUCGCAAGACUCGAGCAGCCAUAAAGAUUAAGGGCUGCGAGAGAUCUCAUAUGAAUGAAGCUUGGAAGACUCUUGAGUUCCUUGCAAUCUUUCAGGUCCAAAUAUCUCAACCCUGUGAGAUUAUUAAUUGAUGAGGGCAAUUCUUUAAUUUUUGACCCGAAUAAAUUAAGCUUUUGUAGUUCCUCCAUAACUUCUAAAAUCUCAGGAAACAUUUCAAGACUCGAGCAGCCAGAAAGAUCAAGGGUUACGAGAGAUUUCAUACGAAUGCUUGGAAGGCUCUUGAGUUCCUUGCAAUUUGUUAGUUUCAAAUAUCUCAACCCCGUGAGAUUAUUAAUAGAUGAGGGCAAUUCUUCAAUUUUUAACCCGGAUAAAUUAAGCUCUGGUAGUUCUUCCAUAACUUCUAAAAUCUCUGGAAACAUCUCAAGACUCGAGCAACCAGAAAGAUCAAGGAUUUUGAGAGAUUUCAUACGAAUGCUUGGAAGGUUCUUGAGUUCCUUGCAAUUUGUUAGUUUCAAAUAUCUCAACCCCGUGAGAUUAUUAAUUGAUGAGGGCAAUUCUUUAAUUUUUGACUCGGAUAAAUUAAGCUCUGGUAGUUCCUCCAUAACUUCUAAAAUCUCUGGAAACAUCUCAAGACUCGAGCAGCCAGAAAGAUCAAGGGUUAUGAGAGAUCUCAUAUGAAUGAUGCUUGGAAGACUCUUGAGUUCCUUGCAAUCUUUUAGGUUCAAAUAUCUCAAUCCUGUGAGAUUAUUAAUUGACGAGGGUAGUUCUUUAAUUUUUGACCCAGAUAUAUCAAGCGUUUGUAGUUCCUCCAUAACUUCUAAAAUCUCUGGAAACAUCUCAAGACUCGAGCAGCCAGAAAGAUCAAGGGUUAUGAGAGAUCUCAUAUGAAUGAUGCUUGGAAGACUCUUGAGUUCCUUGCAAUCUUUUAGGUUCAAAUAUCUCAAUCCCGUGAGAUUAUUAAUUGACGAGGGUACUUCUUUAAUUUUUGACCCAGAUAUAUCAAGCGUUUGUAGUUCCUCCAUAAUUUCUAAAAUCUCUGGAAACAUCUCAAGACUCGAGCAGCCAGAAAGAUCAAGGAUUUUGAGAGAUUUCAUACGAAUGCUGCUUGAAAGACUCUUUAAGUUUGCUGGACCCAUGCAGAUCCAAUAAAACAAGGUUUGUAAGACUUGAGCAGCCAGAAAGAUCAAGGGUUACGAGAGAUUUCAUACGAAUGCUUGAAAGGCUUUUGAGUUCCUUGCAAUUUGUUAGUUUCAAAUCUCUCAACCCCGUGAGAUUAUUAAUUGACGAGGGCAGUUCUUUAAUUUUUGACCCGAAUAAAUUAAGCACUAGUAGUUCCUCCAUAACUUCUAAAAUCUCUGGAAACAGUUCAAGACUCGAGCAGCCAGAAAGAUCAAGGAUUUUGAGAUAUUUCAUACGAAUGCUGUUGGCUAGAAUCAUAAGUUCGUUGCAGCCCCUCAGAUCCAAUAAAACAAGGUUUGUAAGAGUCGAAAUAGAUGGGUGAACCUCAACCAAACUUAUACAACCUACAAAAAUUAGCCUCUCAAGAUUUGGCACCUUUGUGAAGUCAGGGGUUUCCUUAAGGUAUUCACAAUAGCUUAAAUUGAUGAAUUUCAACUUCCCCAGCGUCUGUUAAAACAUUCAUGAAAACAUGCAUUACUUAAGAAGACAUCUCAAUCAGAACCCAAACAUUUAAAAGAAACAUAUACAUGUAAAUGGUGAUUGUAGGUACCUGCGUUCCUUCCCAAAGUCGUUCAAUGCGACUAUAUUGCAUGUCAAGGUCAACAAGAUUUUUGAAUUGAAAGUUGGAUGGCAAAGAUUUAAGGGGGGAUCCAUGCCAGUAGAGACACCUCAACUCACGAGAAAGAAACUUUAAGCGCCCAAUCAGGUGUUGUUUGUCGUAAGAAUGACUUAUCCUGAGAAGUCUUAGUUGAUUCAUACUAUCAAAAGCUUCAGCAUUUAGGCAUACCUCAUCUGAGAUCGACAAAUCCAGGAUUAUGCUUUCAACUGCUUCUGUACCCUGUGCAAAUCAAAGUGAAGGAAAAACAGAGAGGUUUAGAUUAUGAAGUUAAUGCUUGUUUCUUAAGGAACCAUUUUAUAAUCAUUUCGUUUUCAAUUUUUAACUUUUGUUUUAAUUAUUUUGUUAUAGAAAUCUGAAAAUUAAAAGCACAUAACUUGUUUGAUAAUCAUUCUCAAACAAAAAUUAUUUUAUAAAAUGUUUGUUUCUUCUCAAAAAAAAAAAAAAAAUCAUUCUCAAUUUUCAAUUAUUAAAAAAAAAAUCAAAACUAAAAAUUAAAAUUGUAAACAAAAAUAAUUACCAAACCGGCCUAAGAAAUAAAUUUUGGUCAAAAGUUGAAGCUUUCUACUAAACAUUGCAUAAGAAAAUGAUUUCUCACCGUAUUUUGAGUUAGCACAUGAUGAACAUCUCCAUAACUCCACAACCUGCUUCGUCUCCCUGGCUCUUUGAUAGAUUCUUGGCGAACUAUUUCCCGACCCAUUUCCUGUAGUGAAUCAUGCAUCUCCAGUUCCCCCCUCCAUGAGACAGUUAUGAGAGCUCGAUCAAUUAGAACUCUUAUACCACUAUGAGGAUAGAAACCACAACCAUCCAUAAUUUCAAUUGCAUAGUUUUUUUGCAUUCCUUUAAAGAAACAUGCAAUAUCUAGAAAGAUGUCCUUCUCUGUGUCAUCUAGUCCAUCGUAGCUUGUUUUAAGCACAUCAUGAAUUUCCCUUUGUGGGAUUUUCCUUAUUUUUUCUAACACAUCUUUCCACUCGCGUAUAGUUUUGUUAUCAAGAAAAGCUCCCAAAACUUUGAGUGCUAAAGGCAGACCCUGAGCAUAUUGUAUGACACGCCUCGAAAGAUUAUCAUAAUCUUUGGUGGAUUGCUUUGUUCUGAAGGCGUACCGCCUAAAGAGUUCUAGAGCUCCAGCAUCAUUGAAAACCUUGGGGCUAUAUAUUGCAUUAGCUCCGCUUAGUAAUUGCACAUCUCUAGUUGUUAUAAUGAUUCUACUUCCCCCACCAAAAGAAUGUUCCUUUCCGAGUAAGGCUUCAAUUUGAGCUAAUUUGUCAACAUCAUCAACAACAAGAAGAAGUUUUUUGUGACCAAGGUUUUUUAACAUCACCUGGAAACCAUUUUUCGAUAUGUCGGAACUCCCCACCUUGUUGCCCGAGAUACUAGAUAGAAGUUGUGUCUGCAUAUGUAGUUCGCCAUGCUUCAUGAAACCCUCCUUGACAUUUUCAAGAAAACAACAUGCUUCAAAUUGACAAGCGGUUUUGUUGUAAACAGCUCUAGCGAUGGUUGUUUUGCCUAAACCACCCAUACCCCAUAUUCCUACAAUGCGAACAUCAUCCAACUCCACCCCAGGAGGAUCAGGAUGUAAUCGUAAAUGCAUUUCAUGAAUAUGAGAAUCCAUUUCAACCAAGUCAUUAUCUUUGCAUGGUGUUGAUGAGAUGUGCCUCAAUUUUCUCAAAACAUCUUCCACAAUUUCCUCAAUAAGCUUUGCAUCCUCCCUGUCAAAUUCAAAAAAUAAAUAAAUAAAUAAAUAAACAACCAAUAAAGAACAACACCAAAUAACAAGUUUUCAUCUGCUAGUUUCCAAAAAAAAAAAUGAAAAAUGCAAACUAAAAACUUAAAACAAUAACCCCUAAACCCUACAAAAAUCUCAAAAUUAAUAGGAAACUAAAACAAAUUAGAAUUUACUCAUAGUUUCGCGAAUCCCAGCCAGAUAAACUGGUGGCAAUUGUAAGAGCGGAUCUCCAGCUCUGAACCUCUUCCAUUUCAGCGUUAGAAUCGUGAUCGUGCUGAGCAAAAGCUUCCGCGAAUCUUCCCUUGAGUUUACGAACAUCAGACGGAUCAACUUCGUAGAAAAUGGGGAGUACAAUCUGGUUCUUGGUAUCCUUGCAUUCCAAGAUUUCCACGAGUUCUUUCAAGCACCAAGUGGAAGAAGCAUAGUUUUGAGAGAAAACAACAAUCGAAAGCCUUGACUCUCGAAUCGCUGUCAGGAGCUCGGAAAGGCGGUCGCCCUUUCUGAGCUCUUGGGCAUCGAUGAAGGUGUUGAUUGGUUUCUGACGCAGAGCUCUGUAAAGAUGGCUGACGAAGCCCUUGCGAGUGUCUUCCCCUCUGAAAUUGAUGAACACAUCGUGUUUCCAUUGACGGCCAAAAGAAG